rnacentral:rRNA from 1 species
GGCGCGAAAACUUUACAAUGCUGGCAACAGCGAUAAGGGAACCUCGAGUGCCAGGUUACAAAUCUGGCUGUCGAGAUGCCUAAAAAGCAUUUCAUAGUAAGGGCCGGGCAAGACCGGUGCCAGCCGCCGCGGUAACACCGGCGGCUCGAGUGGUAACCGUUAUUAUUGGGUCUAAAGGGUCUGUAGCCGGCCGGAUAAGUCUCUUGAGAAAUCUGGCAGCUUAACUGUCAGGCUUUCAGGAGAUACUGUCUGGCUCGAGGCCGGGAGAGGUGAGAGGUACUUCAGGGGUAGGGGUGAAAUCUUGUAAUCCUUGAAGGACCACCAGUGGCGAAGGCGUCUCACCAGAACGGACCUGACGGCAAGGGACGAAAGCUAGGGGCACGAACCGGAUUAGAAACCCUGGUAGUCC